GGAUUGAUCCUUUUCCAUCAAUAACAUUGUUAAUAUUAAGUUGAUCUGGCAAUAUCUGGCAAUUUACUACUAUAGAAAAGGUGGAAUAUUGAAGGGAAUCUCUAUGGUGCCAGGAGAGUGAACCUGAGCUGAGUGAUUGACUAUUUUACCUUGACCAUAUUCUGAUUCACAAAAUAAAUUUUAUGCCAUCCUUUACUAAAAAUUACAAUAUACAAACUACUACCUAUAUUUUGCCCUUGUAAUAUCUCAACAAAAAAAGAAAUGGCAAUACUGAAAAUGGUGCCAAGUUACAACCAGUGAUAACAGAAUGAACUGAAGAUAAUUCCAAAACUGCCUUGACCAUGGAUGGUGUUUGAAUAAGUUUGUUAUCAGGAGGUGACAAAACUCAUUGAAUUACAUUUUUUGCAUGCUUGUAAAAAAACUAUAUAUAUAUGUAUACUUGUAACUGAUACUAAGCUGUGUUCUUUCAGAUAUGUUUACUUGUUUUUCUCCCAAAGAGAGCCAUAUUGUGUCACCAUUUAAACUGAUUUUCCAAAGUUGAAAUAGAAUCUCAGGAUUGAACAGACAUUUGCAAGGGUGUUUAAUCCAACCAGUCAUGUUUCCUUUGAAUCCAGGAGUGGCUAAAUACUACAGCUACUGAGAAACUGCAUCUGAAAGAAGAUUCUGUGUUAAUCGCCUCUCCAGCUGCAUUAAUAAUUUAAGGAACGUAUUAUAUUUUAUUAUCCUUUAGACCAAUCUCUAUUGAUAGAAAAACACGCUGGCAA
rnacentral:lncRNA from 1 species